UCCAGUGAUAUACACAUCUUUAGAUUUGCAAUCUAACGUCUUAAUAAUUUCCACUAUGCAGCCUAAUAAGAAAGUUUAAACUUGUUUAUAGAUUUACAAUCUAUCGCCUAUUCCUCAGCCACCUUAUCACGCAACGAUGACUCUUUUCAACAAAUCAUAAAGACAUUGGUACCCUAUAUUUUAUCUUCGGAGCAUGAGCAGGCAUAGUAGGGACUUCAUUAAGACUGGUAAUUCGUGCUGAAUUAGGUCAACCAGGAAGCCUCAUUGGUGACGAUCAAAUCUACAAUGUAGUUGUAACCGCCCACGCUUUUGUUAUAAUUUUCUUCAUAGUUAUACCCAUUAUAAUUGGAGGCUUUGGAAACUGACUUGUACCACUUAUACUAGGAGCUCCAGAUAUAGCAUUUCCCCGUAUGAACAAUAUAAGAUUUUGACUUCUUCCUUUUUCUUUAACAUUAUUAUUAACAAGAGGAAUAGUAGAAAGUGGAGUAGGAACUGGGUGAACUGUCUACCCUCCACUCUCAGCGGCAAUUGCUCACGCAGGUGCUUCCGUUGACUUAGGAAUUUUCUCGCUUCAUCUGGCUGGGGUCUCAUCUAUUUUAGGUGCAGUAAAUUUUAUGACAACUGCCAUUAAUAUACGAAGAAAAGGUAUAACAAUAGACCGAAUACCCUUAUUUGUGUGAUCAGUAUUUAUUACAGCAGUUCUUUUGCUACUCUCGCUUCCUGUUUUAGCAGGAGCUAUUACUAUACUCUUAACAGAUCGAAACUUAAAUACUUCAUUCUUCGAUCCAGCUGGAGGUGGAGACCCAGUUCUUUACCAACAUUUAUUCUGGUUUUUUGGGCAUCCUGAAGUUUAUAUUCUUAUUCUUCCUGCUUUUGGUAUAAUCUCCCACAUUGUAACACAAGAAUCCGGGAAAAAAGAAGCCUUUGGAACUCUAGGAAUAAUUUAUGCUAUGAUAGCAAUUGGAAUUCUUGGCUUCGUUGUUUGAGCACACCACAUAUUUACUGUAGGUAUGGAUGUAGACACUCGAGCUUAUUUUACUUCUGCAACAAUAAUUAUUGCAGUUCCUACAGGAAUUAAAAUUUUUAGAUGAUUGGGCACCCUUCAAGGUACCCAAAUCAAUUACAGUCCAUCUCUUCUCUGAGCUCUUGGUUUUAUUUUUCUCUUUACAGUUGGUGGUCUUACAGGAGUAGUUCUUGCUAAUUCAUCUAUUGAUAUUAUUCUUCAUGACACAUAUUAUGUUGUUGCUCACUUUCAUUACGUUCUAUCUAUAGGCGCAGUUUUUGGCAUCUUUGAAGGAAUUGCUCACUGAUUCACCCUAUUUACGGGCUUAUCUAUAAAUCCUAAAUGGUUAAAAAUUCACUUUUUAACUAUAUUUACAGGAGUAAAUAUCACUUUCUUCCCACAACAUUUCUUAGGAUUAAAUGGAAUACCACGACGAUACUCUCUGACGCAUUCACCGCAUGAAAUGUUCUAUCUUCAAUUGGAUCAAUAAUUUCUCUUGUAGCCGUUCUUAGAUUCAUCAUUAUUGUAUGAGAGUAUGAGAAGCUUUGGUAGUUAAACGAACAGUUAUAUUUUCUUUAUUCUUACCUACUUCGAUUGAAUGACAGCAUGCUUAUCCCCCAGCUGACCACAGUUAUAUAGAAAUCCCUAUAAUCACUAACUACUAAAAUGACAGAUAGAUGUGCAGGAUUUAAGCUCCUGUUAGGGAAAAUUAUUUCCUUUUAGUAAUGGCAACAUGAGGUCACCUAGGAUUCCAAGACAGUGCGUCACCCCUUAUAGAGCAACUUAUUUUCUUCCAUGAUCAUACUAUGGUAGUAUUGAUUUUAAUUACUACUUUUGUUGGUUAUAUAAUAGCCGCUAUAUUUCCUAAUGCUUUUGUUAAUCGUUUUCUCCUUGAAAACCAAACAAUCGAAGUAAUUUGAACAAUCCUUCCUGCUAUUAUUCUUAUUUUUAUUGCUCUCCCUUCACUUCGGUUACUUUAUCUUCUAGAUGAAGUUAAUAACCCUAGAAUCACUCUUAAAACAAUUGGACACCGAUGAUAUUGAAGGUAUGAAUACUCAGACUUUCUGCAAGUAGAGUUUGACUCCUAUAUAACUCCAUCUAACGAACUAGAUUUAUCUGGAUUUCGACUUUUAGACGUAGACAACCGAACUGUAUUACCUAUAAACACACAAGUUCGAAUGUUAGUCACCGCUGCUGAUGUUAUUCAUUCUUGAACUGUUCCAGCUCUGGGAGUAAAAGCAGAUGCAAUUCCCGGCCGUCUUAACCAAAUUAGAUUUAUGGUUAACCGACCAGGAUUGUUUUUUGGGCAAUACUCAGAAAUUUGUGGAGCUAACCAUAGAUUUAUACCAAUUGUAGUAGAAAGUGUGUCAGUCUCAGCUUUUUUAAAUUGAAUCUCCUCCUCAUCCGAUCUAUCACCCGAUGACUGAAAGCAAGUAUAGGUCUUUUAAACCUAUCAUAGUAGAGGCGCCUACUUCUGGUGGAAAAAGUUAGUUAAUUAAUAAUAUGAGCUUGUCAAGCUUAAGUAAUUCCACUGGAAUACUUUUUGAUGCCUCAAAUAGCACCUCUUUUAUGAUUAAAUCUAUUUUUUAUAUUUCUUAUUGGGUUUCUUUUGUUUUUUAUUCUAAACUAUUUUAUAAAAUCUCCACUUAAAAUGUCCCCUUCAAUUGAACUAAAAGCUCAACACCAAAAAACCUGAAAAUGAUAACAAGACUAUUUUCUAUUUUUGAACCUUCUUCAAGAAUCUUUUCAUUAUCAAUCAAUUGAUUAUCAACUUUUGUUGGGUUACUUUUUAUUCCCUACCUUUAUUGAGCGGCUCCCUCACGUUGAGCAUUAGUUUGAUCCAAAAUUAUGCAACUUCUUCACAAUGAAUUUCAAGCAAUUUUAGGGCAAGCCACUAAAGGUUCAACUAUUUUAUUCAUUUCUUUAUUUAGAUUUAUUAUAUUCAAUAACACUCUCGGACUUCUCCCAUAUGUAUUUACUAGAUCAAGACACCUUGCGAUAACUCUUACGCUUGCUUUACCUUUAUGGCUAACUUUUAUUUUAUUUGGUUGGAUUAACCAUACCCAACACAUGCUUGCUCAUAUAGUUCCCCAAGGAACACCAGGGCUUCUAAUACCAUUUAUAGUGUUAGUAGAAACUUUAAGAAAUAUUAUUCGACCAGGAACUUUAGCCGUUCGACUAGCAGCUAACAUAAUUGCAGGACAUCUUUUGUUGACACUUUUAGGCAAUAUAGGCCCUUCUUUGUCUUUGACUUUAGUGUCGUUUUUAAUACUAGCUCAAAUCCUUCUUUUAAUACUAGAAUCUGCUGUUGCAAUAAUUCAAUCGUAUGUAUUUGCUGUUCUAAGGACUUUAUAUGCCAGAGAAGUUAACUAA